AUUCGCUCAUUACCGAACGACGGCCUGCGGUGCCUUGAUGUGCCGAAGCCCACCAUGGGUUUUGGCAUCGUCAUGCAUCAAGGGCGUCACUAAGGAAUGC
rnacentral:misc_RNA from 1 species